AUGCCAUCCGACGUUGGCUCUUCAAGAAAUGGUGCCUUUAAGUUUCUCAAAGACCGUCUAUGGAGUAAAAUCCAGGGCUGGAUUGAGAAGUCCUUGUCCACCGCAGGGAAAGAGGUACUUGUCAAAUCUGUCGCUCAAGCGGUGUCAGUUUUUUCAAUGUCAUGUUUCAAACUUCCAAGGAGACUCUGCGAACACUUGAAUAUGUUGAUAAGGAAGUUUUGGUGGGGCUCUAAAGAUGGCCGUAGGAAGCCUCAUUGGGUUUCAUGGAAGGACAUGACGCAACCCAAAUCUUCUGGGGGGUUGGGGUUCAAAGAUUUUGAAUUAUUCAACCUAGCAAUGCUUGCAAAGCAGGGUUGGCGAAUUCUCCAACAGCCUGACUCUUUGAGUGCUCAAAUCUUGAAGGGGGUUUAUUUCCCUAACUCAUCCAUCCUACAUGCUCAAGUCGGCUCUCAUCCUAGUCAGAUUUGGAGAUCUAUAAUGGAGGGGGUGGAGGUUUUGAAACUAGGGCUCAUCAAGAGGAUCGGCAAUGGUGAAUCUACAGAUGUGUGGACGGAGAACUGGAUUCCAAGGAAUGAGAUGUUGCGCCCCUAUGGCUGCAGGGUACAGAACCCCAUGAGGCUAGCAUCUCAAUAUAUCGAUCAAACUUCUGCGACUUGGGAUAAGCAAUGA
rnacentral:rRNA from 1 species